UCUAAGAGAUUUCAUUAGAAAUAUAGAGGGGGAGAGACAGACAGAAACACAGGACAGCAUUGGGGGGGGGGGCACUGGAUCCUUAUCCACUGGCCCUUUCCAUCUCUUCUAAAGGGCUCUUUAUAGGAAUGCCAAGGGGUAGAGCAAAAGAUCUCCUCCUAGCACAGCCAACUGUAGACCCUUCCAAACACCUGGUAACCAUGCACAUGGUCAAGUCAUUCUUUAAUGCA